rnacentral:rRNA from 1 species
GCGACGAUCCCUAGCUGGUCUGAGAGGAUGAUCAGCCACCACUGGAACUGAGACACGGUCCAGACUCCUACGGGAGGCAGCAGUGGGGAAUAUUGCACAAUGGGCGCAAGCCUGAUGCAGCCAUGCCGCGUGUGUGAAGAAGGCCUUUCGGGUUGUAAAGCACUUUCAGUCGUGAGGAAGGUAGUGUAGUUAAUAGCUGCAUUAUUUGACGUUAGCGACAGAAGAAGCACCGGCUAACUCCGUGCCAGCAGCCGCGGUAAUACGGAGGGUGCGAGCGUUAAUCGGAAUUACUGGGCGUAAAGCGCAUGCAGGUGGUUUGUUAAGUCAGAUGUGAAAGCCCGGGGCUCAACCUCGGAAUUGCAUUUGAAACUGGCAGACUAGAGUACUGUAGAGGGGGGUAGAAUUUCAGGUGUAGCGGUGAAAUGCGUAGAGAUCUGAAGGAAUACCGGUGGCGAAGGCGGCCCCCUGGACAGAUACUGACACUCAGAUGCGAAAGCGUGGGGAGCAAACAGGAUUAGAUACCCUGGUAGUCCACGCCGUAAACGAUGUCUACUUGGAGGUUGUGGCCUUGAGCCGUGGCUUUCGGAGCUAACGCGUUAAGUAGACCGCCUGGGGAGUACGGUCGCAAGAUUAAAACUCAAAUGAAUUGACGGGGGCCCGCACAAGCGGUGGAGCAUGUGGUUUAAUUCGAUGCAACGCGAAGAACCUUACCUACUCUUGACAUCCAGAGAACUUUUCAGAGAUGAAUUGGUGCCUUCGGGAACUCUGAGACAGGUGCUGCAUGGCUGUCGUCAG